rnacentral:rRNA from 1 species
AGAGUUUGAUCAUGGCUCAGCCUGAACGCUGGCGGCGUGGCUAAGACAUGCAAGUCGCACGGGGUAGCAAUACCCAGUGGCGAACGGGAGAGUAAUGAAUCGCUAACGUGCCCCGGACUCUGAGAUAGCCAUCCGAAAGGGUGGGUAAUAUCAGAUAAUAUAACUUACAGGCAUCUGUGAGUUCUCAAAGGUCCGCCGGUCUGGGAGCGGGCGAUUUCGUAUCAGCUAGUUGGUGAGGUAACGGCUCACCAAGGCGACGACGCGUAGCCGGACUGAGAGGUUGGCCGGCCUCAUUGGGACUGAGACACUGCCCAGACUCCUACGGGGGGCUGCAGUAACGAAUCUUCCGCAAUGCACGAAAGUGUGACGGAGCGACGCCGCGUGUGGGACGAAGCCCUUCGGGGUGUAAACCACUGUCAGGGGUUACCAAGUUCUGAGGAGCCCCAGAGGAAGGCACGGCUAACUCUGUGCCAGCAGCCGCGGUAAGACAGAGGUGCCAAGCGUUAGGCGGAAUCACUGGGCUUAAAGCGUGUGUAGGCGGAAUUGUAAGUACCUUGUGAAAUCCCACGGCUCAACCGUGGAACUGCUCGGUAUACUGCUUUUCUUGAGCCACUUAGGGGCUGUCGGAACAAACGGUGGAGCGGUGAAAUGCGUAGAUAUCGUUUGGAACGCCAAAGGUGAAAACAGACAGCUGGGAGUGUGCUGACGCUGAGACACGAAAGCCAGGGGAGCGAACGGGAUUAGAUACCCCUGUAGUCC